AGUGAACGCUGGCGGUAGGCCUAACACAUGCAAGUCGAACGGCAGCACAGUAAGAGCUUGCUCUUACGGGUGGCGAGUGGCGGACGGGUGAGGAAUACAUCGGAAUCUACUUUUUCGUGGGGGAUAACGUAGGGAAACUUACGCUAAUACCGCAUACGACCUACGGGUGAAAGCAGGGGAUCUUCGGACCUUGCGCAAUUGAAUGAGCCGAUGUCGGAUUAGCUAGUUGGCGGGGUAAAGGCCCACCAAGGCGACGAUCCGUAGCUGGUCUGAGAGGAUAAUCAGCCACACUGGAACUGAGACACGGUCCAGACUCCUACGGGAGGCAGCAGUGGGGAAUAUUGGACAAUGGGCGCAAGCCUGAUCCAGCCAUACCGCGUGGGUGAAGAAGGCCUUCGGGUUGUAAAGCCCUUUUGUUGGGAAAGAAAAGCAGCAGGUUAAUACCCCGCUGUUCUGACGGUACCCAAAGAAUAAGCACCGGCUAACUUCGUG
rnacentral:rRNA from 1 species